CGUACACUCCUGCGGGAGGCAGCAGUGGGGAAUAUUGGACAAUGGGCGCAAGCCUGCUCCAGCCAUGCCGCGUGAGUGAUGAAGGCCCUAGGGUUGUAAAGCUCUUUCACCGGUGAAGAUAAUGACGGUAACCGGAGAAGAAGCCCCGGCUAACUUCGUGCCAGCAGCCGCGGUAAUACGCAGGGGGCUAGCGUUGUUCGGAUUUACUGGGCGUAAAGCGCACGUAGGCGGACUAUUAAGUCAGGGGUGAAAUCCCGGGGCUCAACCCCGGAACUGCCUUUGAUACUGGUAGUCUUGAGUUCGAGAGAGGUGAGUGGAAUUCCGAGUGUAGAGGUGAAAUUCGUAGAUAUUCGGAGGAACACCAGUGGCGAAGGCGGCUCACUGGCUCGAUACUGACGCUGAGGUGCGAAAGCGUGGGGAGCAAACAGGAUUAGAAACCCCGGUAGUCCCA
rnacentral:rRNA from 1 species